rnacentral:rRNA from 1 species
UAACACGUUGGUGACCUGCCCCGAAGAGGGGGACAACCCCGGGAAACUGGGGCUAAUACCCCAUGUGAUCCAGAGAGUUAGAGGUCUUUGGAUGAAAUGGAGCAAUCCGCUUCGGGAGGGGCCUGCGGCCUAUCAGCUAGUUGGUAGGGUAACGGCCUACCAAGGCGACGACGGGUAGGGGGCCUGAGAGGGUGAUCCCCCACACUGGAACUGAAACACGGACCAGACACCUACGGGUGGCAGCAGUAGGGAAUAUUGCCCAAUGGACGAAAGUCUGAGGCAGCAACGCCGCGUGCGCGAUGAAGGCCUUCGGGUCGUAAAGCGCUUUUCUGGGGGACGAGAUAGGACGGUACCCCAGGAAUAAGUCUCGGCUAACUACGUGCCAGCAGCCGCGGUAAAACGUAGGAGGCAAGCGUUAUCCGGAUUUACUGGGCGUAAAGCGCGUGCAGGUGGUCUGGUAAGUCGGACGUGAAAUCUCCUGGCUCAACUAGGAGAGGCCGUUCGAUACUGCCGGACUGGAGGGCAGCAGAGGGAGGUGGAAUUCCGGGUGUAGCGGUGAAAUGCGUAGAUAUCCGGAGGAACACCAGUGGCGAAAGCGGCCUCCUGGACUGUCCCUGACGCUAAGACGCGAAAGCUAGGGGAGUGAACGGGAUUAGAAACCCCGGUAAUCCUAGCUGUAAACGAUGCAGACUUGGUGUUGGUGGUCUAAACCCCAUCAGUGCCGUAGCUAACGCGAUAAGUCUGCCGCCUGGGGACUACGAUCGCAAGGUUA